CAGAGGGUGCAAACGUUGCUCGGAAUUACUGGGCGUAAAGCGCGUGUAGGCGGGUCGGUAUGUCGGACGUGAAAUCCCUAGGCUCAACCUAGGAACUGCGCUCGAAACUGCCGGUCUUGAGUGGUGGAGAGGGAAGUGGAAUUCCUGGUGUAGAGGUGAAAUUCGUAGAUAUCAGGAGGAACACCAGUGGCGAAGGCGGCUUCCUGGACACCAACUGACGCUGAGACGCGAAAGCGUGGGGAGCAAACAGGAUUAGAUACCCUGGUAGUCCACGCUGUAAACGAUGGGCACUAGGUGUCGCGGGUUUUGACCCCCGCGGUGCCGUAGCAAACGCGUUAAGUGCCCCGCCUGGGGAGUACGGCCGCAAGGCUA
rnacentral:rRNA from 1 species